GAUCAUGGCUCAGAUUGAACGCUGGCGGCAGGCUUAACACAUGCAAGUCGAACGGUAACAUAAAGGAGCUUGCUUCUUUGAUGACGAGUGGCGGACGGGUGAGUAAUGCUUGGGAAUCUAGCUUAUGGAGGGGGGAUAACUACGGAAAACUGUAGCUAAUACCGCGUAGAAUCGGGAGAUGAAAGUGUGGGACCUUCGGGCCACAUGCCAUAGGAUGAGCCCAAGUGGGAUUAGGUAGUUGGUG
rnacentral:rRNA from 1 species